rnacentral:tRNA from 1 species
GGUAAGGUGGCUGAGUUAAGCGGUGGAUUGUAGCCCCACAGACAGAGGUUCAAACCCUCUUCUUAUCA